rnacentral:piRNA from 1 species
UGAAAUAGGUACCUCCCCCUCACCC